AGCAGUCGCCGCGGUAAUACGGAGGGUGCAAGCGUUAAUCGGAAUUACUGGGCGUAAAGCGUGCGUAGGCGGUUCGUUAAGUCUGUUGUGAAAGCCCCGGGCUCAACCUGGGAAUGGCAAUGGAUACUGGCGAGCUAGAGUGUGUCAGAGGAUGGUGGAAUUCCCGGUGUAGCGGUGAAAUGCGUAGAGAUCGGGAGGAACAUCAGUGGCGAAGGCGGCCAUCUGGGACAACACUGACGCUGAGGCACGAAAGCGUAGGGAGCAAACAGGAUUAGAUACCCGUGUAGUCCCUGUCUCUUAUAC
rnacentral:rRNA from 1 species